rnacentral:rRNA from 1 species
AUGCACGCUGGCGGCGUGCCUAAUACAUGCCAGUCGCGCGAACGGACGAGAAGCUUGCUUCUCUGAUGUUAGCGGCGGACGGGUGAGUAACACGUGGAUAACCUACCUAUAAGACUGGGAUAACUUCGGGGAAACCGGAGCUAAUACCGGAUAAUAUUUUGAACCGCAUGGUUCAAAAGUGAAAGACGGUCUUGCUGUCACUUAUAGAUGGAUCCGCGCUGCAUUAGCUAGUUGGCAAGGUAACGGCUUACCAAGGCAACGAUGCAUAGCCGACCUGAGAGGGUGAUCGGCCACACUGGAACUGAGACACGGUCCAGACUCCUACGGGAGGCAGCAGUAGGGAAUCUUCCGCAAUGGGCGAAAGCCUGACGGAGCAACGCCGCGUGAGUGAUGAAGGUCUUCGGAUCGUAAAACUCUGUUAUUAGGGAAGAACAUAUGUGUAAGUAACUGUGCACAUCUUGACGGUACCUAAUCAGAAAGCCACGGCUAACUACGUG